rnacentral:rRNA from 1 species
GAGUUUGAUCAUGGCUCAGAUUGAACGCUGGCGGCAUGCCUUACACAUGCAAGUCGAACGGCAGCACGGGAGCUUGCUCCUGGUGGCGAGUGGCGAACGGGUGAGUAAUGCAUCGGAACGUAUCCUGGAGUGGGGGAUAACGUAGCGAAAGUUACGCUAAUACCGCAUAUUCUGUGAGCAGGAAAGCGGGGGACCUUCGGGCCUCGCGCUCUUGGAGCGGCCGAUGUCGGAUUAGCUAGUUGGUGAGGUAAAGGCUCACCAAGGCGACGAUCCGUAGCAGGUCUGAGAGGAUGAUCUGCCACACUGGAACUGAGACACGGUCCAGACUCCUACGGGAGGCAGCAGUGGGGAAUUUGGACAAUGGGGGCAACCCUGAUCCAGCCAUGCCGCGUGAGUGAAGAAGGCC